UUGUUCUUUAAAUGAGGACUUGUAUCAACGGCACCACGAGGGUUAUACUGUCUCCUUUCUCUAAUCAGUGAAACUGAUCUCUCCGUGAAGAAGCGGGGAUACUCCUAUAAGACGAAAAGACCCCAUGGAGCUUCAAACCCAACUACACCCUUAACUACCACAACCGCACAACCUCUUAGGGCCCUGUAUAGUUGGUUUUAGGUUGGGGCGACCACGGAGUACAACCAAACCUCCGCAAUGGACGGGACCACUCCCUUAUCU
rnacentral:rRNA from 1 species